GACGAACGCUGGCGGCGUGCUUAACACAUGCAAGUCGAACGUGAUUUUUGUGGAAAUUCUUUCGGGAAUGGAAAUGAAAUGAAAGUGGCGAACGGGUGAGUAACACGUGAGCAACCUACCUUACACAGGGGGAUAGCCGUUGGAAACGACGAUUAAUACCGCAUGAGACCACAGAAUCGCAUGAUAUAGGGGUCAAAGAUUUAUCGGUGUAAGAAGGGCUCGCGUCUGAUUAGCUAGUUGGAAGGGUAAAGGCCUACCAAGGCGACGAUCAGUAGCCGGUCUGAGAGGAUGAACGGCCACACUGGAACUGAGACACGGUCCAAACUCCUACGGGAGGCAGCAGUGGGGAAUAUUGCACAAUGGGGGGAACCCUGAUGCAGCGACGCCGCGUGAGCGAAGAAGGUUUUCGAAUCGUAAAGCUCUGUCCUAUGAGAAGAUAAUGACGGAUCAUAGGAGAAGCCCCG
rnacentral:rRNA from 1 species